rnacentral:pre_miRNA from 1 species
CCAAAGAACAUUCAACGCUGUCGGUGAGUUUGGGAUUUAAAAAAAAAAAACCACCGACCGUUGACUGUACCUUG